AGUCAAGUAAUUAAGUGCAUGUGGUGGAUGCCUUGGCAGUCAGAGGCGAUGAAAGACGUGAUAGCCUGCGAAAAGCUCCGGGGAGGCGGCAAAUAUCCUUUGAUCCGGAGAUGUCUGAAUGGGGGAACCCACCUACUUUAAGGUAGGUAUUGCAACAUGAAUACAUAGUGUUGCAAGGCGAACGAGGGGAAGUGAAACAUCUCAGUACCCUUAGGAAAAGAAAUCAAUUGAGAUUCCCUCAGUAGCGGCGAGCGAACGGGGAUCAGCCCAUUAAGUUAUGUGUGUUUUAGUGGAACGCUCUGGGAAGUGCGAACGUAGAGGGUGAUAUUCCCGUACACGAAAGGGCACACAUAAUGAUGACGAGUAGGGCGAGGCACGUGAAACCUUGUCUGAAUAUGGGGGGACCAUCCUCCAAGGCUAAAUACUCCUGACUGACCGAUAGUGAACCAGUACCGUGAGGGAAAGGCGAAAAGAACCCCUGUGAGGGGAGUGAAAUAGAUCCUGAAACCGCAUGCAUACAAGCAGUGGGAGCACCUUCGUGGUGUGACUGCGUACCUUUUGUAUAAUGGGUCAGCGACUUAUAUUCAGUAGCGAGGUUAACCGUAUAGGGGAGCCGUAGAGAAAUCGAGUCUUAAUAGGGCGUUUAGUUGCUGGGUAUAGACCCGAAACCAGGCGAUCUAUCCAUGAGCAGGUUGAAGGUUGGGUAACACUAACUGGAGGACCGAACCCACUGU
rnacentral:rRNA from 1 species